CGGGACGGGUGGGUAAUGUCUGGGAAACGUGCCUGAUGGAGGGGGGUAACUACUGGAAACGGGAGCUAAUACCGCAUAACGUCGCAAGACCAAAGAGGGGGACCGUUCGGGCCUCUUGCCAUCGGAUGUGCCCAGAUGGGAUUAGCUAGUAGGUGGGGUAACGGCUCACCUAGGCGACGAUCCCUAGCUGGUCUGAGAGGAUGACCAGCCACACUGGAACUGAGACACGGUCCAG
rnacentral:rRNA from 1 species